CGUGAGCAACCUGCCUUUCAGUGGGGGACAACAGUUGGAAACGACUGCUAAUACCGCAUAAAGCAUUUUGACCGCAUGAUCGAGAUGCCAAAGAUUUAUUGCUGAAAGAUGGGCUCGCGUCUGAUUAGAUAGUUGGUGAGGUAACGGCCCACCAAGUCGACGAUCAGUAGCCGGACUGAGAGGUUGAACGGCCACAUUGGGACUGAGAUACGGCCCAGACUCCUACGGGAGGCAGCAGUGGGGAAUAUUGGGCAAUGGGGGAAACCCUGACCCAGCAACGCCGCGUGAAGGAAGAAGGCUUUCGGGUUGUAAACUUCUUUUACCAGGGACGAAGAAAGUGACGGUACCUGGAGAAAAAGCCACGGCUAACUACGUGCCAGCAGCCGCGGUAAUACGUAGGUGGCAAGCGUUGUCCGGAUUUACUGGGUGUAAAGGGCGUGUAGGCGGAGAUGCAAGUCAGAUGUGAAAUCCCCGGGCUUAACCCGGGAACUGCAUUUGAAACUGUAUCCCUUGAGUAUCGGAGAGGCAGGCGGAAUUCCUAGUGUAGCGGUGAA
rnacentral:rRNA from 1 species